rnacentral:rRNA from 11 species
AUAAAUGUUCUUACGUAAUUCUAAAGGUACCAGAUUCCUUUGGAUCUUGGAAGUUAAGCAGGACUAGCCCUGGGUUAGUACUGGGAUGGGAGGCCACUAACACAUAGCAGGGGCUGUAGCAUUUAUU